rnacentral:rRNA from 1 species
GAUGAACGCUAGCUACAGGCUUAACACAUGCAAGUCGAGGGAAACGAUAUUGGAAGCUUGCUUUUUCUAGGCGUCGACCGGCGCACGGGUGAGUAACGCGUAUCCAACCUGCCCUUUACGCGGGGAUAGCCUUCUGAAAGGAAGUUUAAUACCCGAUGAAUUCGUUUAGUCGCAUGGCUUGAUGAAGAAAGAUUUAUCAGUAAAGGAUGGGGAUGCGUCCCAUUAGCUGGUUGGUGGGGUAACGGCCCACCAAGGCGACGAUCAGUAGGGGUUCUGAGAGGAAGGGCCCCCACAUUGGAACUGAGACACGGUCCAAACUCCUACGGGAGGCAGCAGUGAGGAAUAUUGGUCAAUGGACGAGAGUCUGAACCAGCCAAGUAGCGUGCAGGAUGACGGCCCUAUGGGUUGUAAACUGCUUUUAUAAGGGAAUAAAGUGAGUCUCGUGAGGCUUUUUGCAUGUACCUUAUGAAUAAGGACCGGCUAAUUCCGUG